GAUGAACGCUGGCGGCGUGUUUAAGGCAUGCAAGUCGCACGCUCUGUCUUUUUUUCGCAAGAAAGAAAGACGGGGAGUGGCGGACGGGUGAGUAACACCUUGAUAACCUACCCUCGCCCCGAUCAUAACCCGCGAAGCGGGGCUAAUAGUCGGCGCGGUCCCGACAUUCAUUGUUGGGAUGAUAGGCCAUUCGCAAGAAUGGUCGGGCGAGGAGGGGUCUAGGUCCUAUCAGCNGUUGGCGGGGUAAUGGCCCACCAAGGCUUUGACGGGUAGCGGGCGUGAGAGCGCGACCCGCCUCACUGGGACUGAGACACUGCCCAGACACCUACGGGUGGCUGCAGUUGAGAAU
rnacentral:rRNA from 1 species